rnacentral:rRNA from 1 species
UUACGGUCAAAUCACGCUGAAACACCGGCUCUCGUACGAUCACCGAAGUUAAGCAGCGUAGAGCCAGGUCAGUACUUAGAUGGGGGACCGCUUGGGAACACCUGGUACUGUAAG